rnacentral:rRNA from 1 species
AUUGAACGCUGGCGGCAGGCCUAACACAUGCAAGUCGAACGGUAACAGGAAGAAGCUUGCUUCUUUGCUGACGAGUGGCGGACGGGUGAGUAAUGUCUGGGAAACUGCCUGAUGGAGGGGGAUAACUACUGGAAACGGUAGCUAAUACCGCAUAACGUCGCAAGACCAAAGAGGGGGACCUUCGGGCCUCUUGCCAUCGGGUGUGCCCAGAUGGGAUUAGCUAGUAGGUGGGGUAACGGCUCACCUAGGCGACGAUCCCUAGCUGGUCUGAGAGGAUGACCAGCCACACUGGAACUGAGACACGGUCCAGACUCCUACGGGAGGCAGCAGUGGGGAAUAUUGCACAAUGGGCGCAAGCCUGAUGCAGCCAUGCCGCGUGUAUGAAGAAGGCCUUCGGGUUGUAAAGUACUUUCAGCGGGGAGGAAGGGAGUAAAGUUAAUACCUUGGCUCAUUGACGUUACCCGCAGAAGAAGCACCGGCUAACUCCGUG